rnacentral:rRNA from 1 species
CCUACGGGGGGCAGCAGUGAGGAAUAUUGGUCAAUGGGCGGGAGUCUGAACCAGCCAAGUCGCGUGAGGGAUGACGGCCCUAUGGGUUGUAAACCUCUUUUGCCGGGGAGCAAAGUGCAGUACGUGUGCGGUUUGGUGAGUACCCGGUGAAUAAGCAUCGGCUAACUCCGUGCCAGCAGCCGCGGUAAUACGGAGGAUGCGAGCGUUAUCCGGAUUUAUUGGGUUUAAAGGGUGCGUAGGCGGACGCUUAAGUCAGCGGUAAAAUUGCGGGGCUCAACCUCGUAGAGCCGUUGACACUGGGUGCCUUGAGUGGGCGAGAAGUACGCGGAAUGCGUGGUGUAGCGGUGAAAUGCAUAGAUAUCACGCAGAACUCCGAUUGCGAAGGCAGCGUACCGGCGCCCAACUGACGCUGAAGCACGAAGGCGUGGGUAUCGAACAGGAUUAGAUACCCGAGUAGUC